rnacentral:rRNA from 1 species
AACAAACGCUGGCGGCGUGCCUAAUACAUGCAAGUCGAACGAGGUAGCAAUACCUAGUGGCGCACGGGUGAGUAACGCGUGGAUAAUCUGCCUUUGAGUGGGGGAUAACUAGUCGAAAGAUUAGCUAAUACCGCAUAAGACCACAGGAACUGAGGUUCUAGGGGUUAAAGGUUUUUCGCUCAUAGAUGAGCCCGCGUGAGAUUAGCUAGUUGGUGAGGUAACGGCUCACCAAGGCGACGAUCUCUAACUGGUCUGAGAGGAUGAUCAGUCACACUGGAACUGAGACACGGUCCAGACUCCUACGGGAGGCAGCAGUAGGGAAUAUUGCACAAUGAAGGAAACUCUGAUGCAGCGACGCCGCGUGAGUGAUGAAGGCUUUCGGGUCGUAAAGCUCUGUCGCAGGGGGAUAACACAAUGAAUGUACCCUGUAAGAAAGGAUCGGCUAACUUCGUGCCAGCCGCCGCCGUAC